rnacentral:rRNA from 1 species
GGUUAAGCGACUAAGCGUACACGGUGGAUGCCCUGGCAGUCAGAGGCGAUGAAGGGCGUGCUAAUCUGCGAUAAGCGCCGGUAAGGUGAUAUGAACCGUUAUAACCGGCGAUACCCGAAUGGGGAAACCCAGUGUGAUUCGUCACACUAUCAUUAACUGAAUCCAUAGGUUAAUGAGGCGAACCGGGGGAACUGAAACAUCUAAGUACCCCGAGGAAAAGAAAUCAACCGAGAUUCCCCCAGUAGCGGCGAGCGAACGGGGAGGAGCCCAGAGCCUGAAUCAGCAUGUGUGUUAGUGGAAGCGUCUGGAAAGGCGCGCGAUACAGGGUGACAGCCCCGUACACAAAAGCGCAUGUGCUGUGAGCUCGAUGAGUAGGGCGGGACACGUGGUAUCCUGUCUGAAUAUGGGGGGACCAUCCUCCAAGGCUAAAUACUCCUGACUGACCGAUAGUGAACCAGUACCGUGAGGGAAAGGCGAAAAGAACCCCGGCGAGGGGAGUGAAAAAGAACCUGAAACCGUGUACGUACAAGCAGUGGGAGCACAGGUUUACCUGUGUGACUGCGUACCUUUUGUAUAAUGGGUCAGCGACUUAUAUUCUGUAGCAAGGUUAACCGAAUAGGGGAGCCGGAGGGAAACCGAGUCUUAAUUGGGCGUUAAGUUGCAGGGUAUAGACCCGAAACCCGGUGAUCUAGCCAUGGGCAGGUUGAAGGUUGGGUAACACUAACUGGAGGACCGAACCGACUAAUGUUGAAAAAUUAGCGGAUGACCUGUGGCUGGGGGUGAAAGGCCAAUCAAACCGGGAGAUAGCUGGUUCUCCCCGAAAGCUAUUUAGGUAGCGCCUCGUGAAUUCAUCUCCGGGGGUAGAGCACUGUUUCGGCUAGGGGGCCAUCCCGGCUUACCAACCCGAUGCAAACUGCGAAUACCGGAGAAUGUUAUCACGGGAGACACACGGCGGGUGCUAACGUCCGUCGUGAAGAGGGAAACAACCCAGACCGCCAGCUAAGGUCCCAAAGUCAUGGUUAAGUGGGAAACGAUGUGGGAAGGCCCAGACAGCCAGGAUGUUGGCUUAGAAGCAGCCAUCAUUUAAAGAAAGCGUAAUAGCUCACUGGUCGAGUCGGCCUGCGCGGAAGAUGUAACGGGGCUAAACCAUGCACCGAAGCUGCGGCAGCGACGCUUAUGCGUUGUUGGGUAGGGGAGCGUUCUGUAAGCCUGUGAAGGUGGCCUGUGAGGGUUGCUGGAGGUAUCAGAAGUGCGAAUGCUGACAUAAGUAACGAUAAAGCGGGUGAAAAGCCCGCUCGCCGGAAGACCAAGGGUUCCUGUCCAACGUUAAUCGGGGCAGGGUGAGUCGACCCCUAAGGCGAGGCCGAAAGGCGUAGUCGAUGGGAAACGGGUUAAUAUUCCCGUACUUGGUGUUACUGCGAAGGGGGGACGGAGAAGGCUAUGUUGGCCGGGCGACGGUUGUCCCGGUUUAAGCGUGUAGGUGUGUGUUCCAGGUAAAUCCGGUUCACUUUAACACUGAGGCGUGAUGACGAGGCACUACGGUGCUGAAGUAACAAAUGCCCUGCUUCCAGGAAAAGCCUCUAAGCAUCAGGUAACAUCAAAUCGUACCCCAAACCGACACAGGUGGUCAGGUAGAGAAUACCAAGGCGCUUGAGAGAACUCGGGUGAAGGAACUAGGCAAAAUGGUGCCGUAACUUCGGGAGAAGGCACGCUGACACGUAGGUGAAGUGAUUUACUCAUGGAGCUGAAGUCAGUCGAAGAUACCAGCUGGCUGCAACUGUUUAUUAAAAACACAGCACUGUGCAAACACGAAAGUGGACGUAUACGGUGUGACGCCUGCCCGGUGCCGGAAGGUUAAUUGAUGGGGUCAGCGCAAGCGAAGCUCCUGAUCGAAGCCCCGGUAAACGGCGGCCGUAACUAUAACGGUCCUAAGGUAGCGAAAUUCCUUGUCGGGUAAGUUCCGACCUGCACGAAUGGCGUAAUGAUGGCCAGGCUGUCUCCACCCGAGACUCAGUGAAAUUGAACUCGCUGUGAAGAUGCAGUGUACCCGCGGCAAGACGGAAAGACCCCGUGAACCUUUACUAUAGCUUGACACUGAACAUUGAGCCUUGAUGUGUAGGAUAGGUGGGAGGCUUUGAAGCGUGGACGCCAGUCUGCGUGGAGCCGACCUUGAAAUACCACCCUUUAAUGUUUGAUGUUCUAACGUGGACCCGUGAUCCGGGUUGCGGACAGUGUCUGGUGGGUAGUUUGACUGGGGCGGUCUCCUCCUAAAGAGUAACGGAGGAGCACGAAGGUUGGCUAAUCCUGGUCGGACAUCAGGAGGUUAGUGCAAUGGCAUAAGCCAGCUUGACUGCGAGCGUGACGGCGCGAGCAGGUGCGAAAGCAGGUCAUAGUGAUCCGGUGGUUCUGAAUGGAAGGGCCAUCGCUCAACGGAUAAAAGGUACUCCGGGGAUAACAGGCUGAUACCGCCCAAGAGUUCAUAUCGACGGCGGUGUUUGGCACCUCGAUGUCGGCUCAUCACAUCCUGGGGCUGAAGUAGGUCCCAAGGGUAUGGCUGUUCGCCAUUUAAAGUGGUACGCGAGCUGGGUUUAGAACGUCGUGAGACAGUUCGGUCCCUAUCUGCCGUGGGCGCUGGAGAACUGAGGGGGCUGCUCCUAGUACGAGAGGACCGGAGUGGACGCAUCACUGGUGUUCGGGUUGUCAUGCCAAUGGCACUGCCCGGUAGCUAAAUGCGGAAGAGAUAAGUGCUGAAAGCAUCUAAGCACGAAACUUGCCCCGAGAUGAGUUCUCCCUGAGACUUAGAGUCUCCUGAAGGAACGUUGAAGACGACGACGUUGAUAGGCCGGGUGUGUAAGCGCAGCGAUGCGUUGAGCUAACCGGUACUAAUGAACCGUGAGGCUUAACCUU